CCUACGGGGGGCAGCAGUGAGGAAUAUUGGUCAAUGGGCGGGAGCCUGAACCAGCCAAGCCGCGUGAGGGAAGAAGGUACAGCGUAUCGUAAACCUCUUUUGUCAGGGAACAAAGGCGGGGACUAGUCCCCGGAUGAGGGUACCUGAAGAAAAAGCAUCGGCUAACUCCGUGCCAGCAGCCGCGGUAAUACGGAGGAUGCGAGCGUUAUCCGGUUUUAUUGGGUUUAAAGGGUGCGCGGGGGGCCUGUUAAGUCAGCGGUAAAAGCCCGGGGCUCAACCCCGGCGAGCCGUUGAAACUGGCGGGCUGGAGUUGGAGAGAAGUACGCGGAAUGCGCGGUGUAGCGGUGAAAUGCUUAGAUAUCGCGCAGAACCCCGAUUGCGAAGGCAGCGUACCGGCUCCACACUGACGCUGAGGCACGAAAGCGUGGGUAGCGAACAGGAUUAGAUACCCGAGUAGUC
rnacentral:rRNA from 1 species